rnacentral:tRNA from 1 species
ACUAUAGCUCAGUUGGUAGAGCAGCGGUUUUGUAAACCGCCGGUCGUUGGUUCGAGUCCGACUAGUG